UUCUGGUUGAUCCUGCCGGACCCUACUGCUAUCGGGAUGGGACUAAGACAUGCUAGUCGUGCGCUUCUAAGCCAUGGUGGAGGCGCGGCGCACAGCUCAGUAACACGUGGUUAACCUGCCCUUGGGACGGAAACACCCCCGGGAAACUGGGGCUAAUUUCCGAUAGGUGAAGACUCCUGGAAUGGAUCUUCGCCUAAAGGGCGCUUAGGGCCAUGCUUCUAGGCGCUGCCCAAGGAUGGGACCGCGGCCGAUCAGGUUGUUGGUGAGGUAAUGGCUCACCAAGCCUUUAACCGGUUCGGGCCGUGGGAGCGGGAGCCCGGAGAUGGGCACUGAGACAAGGGCCCAGGUCCUACGGGGCGCAGCAGUCGCGAAAACUCCGCAAUACGCGAAGGCGUGACGGGGCUAUCCCGAGUGCCGUCCGCUGAGGAUGGCUUUUCCCCAGUGUAGAUAGCUGGGGGAAUAAGGAGAGGGCAAGUCUGGUGUCAGCCGCCGCGGUAAUACCAGCUCUCCGAGUGGUGGGGGACGUUUAUUGGGGCCUGAAGCAUCCGUAGCCAGCUGAGCAAGUCCCCCAGUUUAAAUCCAGCGAUUUAAUCGUUUGGACUGCUGGGGGAUACUGUCCCGGCUUGGGGGUGGGAGAGGCCGACGGUAUUCCCGGGGUAGGGGUGAAAUCCUAUAAUCCCGGGAGGACCACCAGUGGCGAAGGCUGUUGGCUAAAACAUGCCCGACGGUGAGGGAUGAAAGCUGGGGGAGCGAACCGGAUUAGAUACCCGGGUAGUCCCAGCUGUAAACGAUGCAGGCUAGGUGUUAGGGCGGCCACGUGCCGCUCUAGUGCCGCAGGGAAGCUGUUAAGCCUGCCGCCUGGGGAGUACGGCCGCAAGGCUGAAACUUAAAGGAAUUGGCGGGGGAGCAC
rnacentral:rRNA from 1 species